AUCUAUUUCAAAGGUUGUUCAGACAGGAUUUGUUAGUUGCCAGUCUGUUCAGAAAUUUUUUGCUUGCUGAGUGGAUUAUGCGGUCUGCAAAUUGUUCUCCAAUUUCACAUCCAAUGUUACCUCCAACCCAUCAGCAUCACAUGUGGGAUGCAUGGGACAUGGCUGCCGAAAUUUGUCUUUCUCAACUUCCAGCAUUGGUUGAAGACCCCAACUUGGAGUUUCAGCCAAGUCCAUUUUUCACCGAGCAGCUGACAGCUUUUGAGGUAUGGCUUGAUCAUGGAUCCA